rnacentral:lncRNA from 1 species
GAACAUGUGAGAGGAAUCACUACAGAGGAACACUCACGUAAGGAAUGUGGAAAACCCUGUAGCACAAGCGUUUUUGUUAACAGAAGAUGAAAUUUCAAGUACCAAGUACGAUGGGAAAGCCUUCAGGGUUCUUUCAGUUUUUAAGAGACAUGAGGAUCGAUUCUGGAGAGAACAAACCAUUGAAUGGCAUCAGUAUUGGAAAGCCAGUUUCCCACAUUCCUUAAACUUGUGAGUAUAAAGAAGGAGGGAAUGCCUUUAAUGAUAGCUCUUACUUUAGGAAAAGUAUGAAAUUCCUGGAUGCAAAAACCUGUGAGUGGAUUAAUUUUGGAAAGUCUUUCGAUGACUUCUGUCUUUGUUGAAUUGUGUGAAGUCACCCAGGAGGGGCUUCGGGAAGGGAGCCCAAGAAGGUAUUCAGCAUGAGAUUGCCUUAGCUCUUCUCUGAGUGGCCAUGGAAUACUUUAAAAUGGGAAUGGAAAAGGGUAAAUGUUAAAAGUGUGGGAUUACCUUUCAGUGUCUCAUCCUUAGGGUGGGGCAACUAGUUCUUUAAUUUUCAGUCUUUUUGAUUAAGUAACAACAUUUGUGUCUGCAGCUGUGCCCUAAAAUAAACCUUA